UACGAAGGGGGCUAGCGUUGCUCGGAAUCACUGGGCGUAAAGGGUGCGUAGGCGGGUCUUUAAGUCAGGGGUGAAAUCCUGGAGCUCAACUCCAGAACUGCCUUUGAUACUGAAGAUCUUGAGUUCGGGAGAGGUGAGUGGAACUGCGAGUGUAGAGGUGAAAUUCGUAGAUAUUCGCAAGAACACCAGUGGCGAAGGCGGCUCACUGGCCCGAUACUGACGCUCAUGUACGAAAGCGUGGGGAGCAAACAGG
rnacentral:rRNA from 1 species